GAAAGACUGACUUAUCGCUGGGUAGAAGAUAAUACAGGGUUUCCAAAGAAGGUUUCUUCACAUCCAUGUAUUCAUCCAUUCAUCCCCCUUAGCAAAUAUUCGCUGAAUAUGCAUAAUGCUCUGUAAUCAAAUGCUUUCGUUAUUUGCUGACUUCUUUACAUGAGAUGCUGUCCUCCAAUUCUCUCUAAAGCUUCUAUUUUACAUCCCAGCUCAGAUACUAUCUUUUCAGAAAAGCUUUUUUCCAAUCCUAUAGACAAUUUUAGAUGCCUCUUUUCCUACGUUCACCCAUAAGAUAAAUUGUAAUACUGUAAACACUUGUUUGUAGUGUGAUUCUCAUGGGCUGUCUCUACUACCUCUGGUAUCAGUGCAGUAUGUGGCGCACAGCAGAUACUCAUAAAUAUUUGUGGCGUGUGAGUGAGUAAAUCACAAUGAACAUGAAGUGUCAGAAUGAGGCACUGGUGUUGGGUGCUGCCAAAGUUGAGGCUUCCUUUCAGUUGCUGUUUAGGUAGAACUUACCUGAAUGCAGAACAGAUUUCUCCAGCAGCAGGUGGAAGCAGGGAUUCCUGCACAGAAGGCAGCUGAAAUCAGUGCUUUCAACACAGAUGGGUUCUGAAAAACAAGCCCAACAGGUUUGUGUCAAUUACGGGUAAGUAGUUCUUUUUAGGGAUCUGGAAAUGAAGGCCCAGCUAAAUAAGUUUCUGACUUCAUGGUUCCACCUCCAUGCAAAUUACUUCUCAGCAUCCAAAUGAGUUGGCAAAAACAUUGAAUCUAUAUUUUAUCAUGGCAUACCCUUCCAGGAAUUUUAGUAGUUGGCUAUAAAUCUCUGUACAUGUUAACUGAGGAACUUUUCCUGGGAAAGCUUAUUUUAGAUUAAGACAAUGAGAAUCCAAGCAACAUUGAUAUAGCUCUAUAGCUGAAUAAUUUUCUGGGUAUGUUGAUUGAGUAAAAUAAUUAUUCCUUGCAAAUACAGGUUAUGAACUCCUGAGAAACAAGCUUUUGUGGACCAACCUGGAAGUCUUAACUCCAAUUGCUUGCACUGUGUUAGAAAAUAGUCUGGGUUUCAAACAACAAAUUUACGUGGUUUUGGCACACAAAAUUUGUGUUUACUUCUCAACAACUUACAAUGGCUCUCUGUUGUCACUAUAUGUCUAAACCUUAAACCUGGUGUUCAAAGCCUUCUUACUUUUCCAGACUUAUGUCCCUUGAUUCCUCCAAAUAACCCUGUGUUACAGCCAAACCAAACUGUUUGCUAAGUAACAAUACUUCCAACUGCCAUACAUUUGCUCAAGGUGUUCCUGACUCUUGCAUGUUAAAAGCCUACCCUACCUUUGAGAAUCAACCUAACCUUUUCUGAUCUCUCUCAAUUAAGUAUGACCAUUUCCUCUUGUAAAUACCAAAGGAACUUUAUUCCUAUACUUAAAAAAAAAAUGACAGUGCCAUUUAUGGAGAAAAUCCUACAUACUGACCUUUACACUAAGCACUUUACAAACUGUUUAAUAUAAUCCUCAGAACAGUUACAUGGGGAUGGGCAUUAAUUCUACAUGUGCCUCUUCCAUGGUGCUCACUCUGUCUACUGUCUGAAUGCAGAGAGGGACAAGGUCCUAGGGCAGGGGUCAACGGAUUACAGCCCCUGGAGAAGGCAAUGCACCCACUCCAGUACUCUUGCCUGGAAAAUCCCAUGGGCAAAGGAGCCUGGUAGGCUGCAGUCCCUGGGGUCGCGAGAAGUCGGGACACAACUGAGCGACUUCACUUUCCCUUUUCACUUUCAUGCAUUGGAGAAGGAAAUGGCAACCCACUCCAGUGUUCUUGCCUAGAGAAUCCCAGGAAUGGGGGAGCCUGGUGGGCUGCCGUCUAUGGGGUCGCACAGAGUCGGACACGACUGAAGCGACUUUGCAACAGCAGCAGCAGCAGCAGCCUGGUUUUGUAAAUCGAAUUCUACUGGAACACAACCAUGCUUAUUUAUGUACAUAUUGCCUCUGGCUGCUGUUGUGCCGCAGUGAGAGAGACCAUAUGGCCCACGAAGCCUAAAAUGUUUUCUAUAUGGCUCUUUACAGAAAAAGUUUGCCAACUACUGGACUAAGAGAUGGUAAAAGCACAUGAUGGAAGGAUCCUAAGCCCCUGGUUAACAUGUGGAACAGAACUCUUCAUUCCCCUGCCUCACCAACCUGCAUUGAACUGUGAUGGAAGUGUUGGAAUUCCAGCUCCCUUGCCCCUAGGGUCCAUAACUCCACCUGAAAUUCUUGUGGCCUCCUCCUGAUAUCAGCUCAUAUUUGUUCCUCUGACUUGAUUUCAUGCCAUUUUUGGCACCUGAAAAUUCCUGUUUUUCUUAUCAAACUUUGUUAUGUGGAAAAUGUUUUUGUUAUUUCUAUGUGGCUGGGGCCUAUUUGGGUCAGUUCAGUAGGUGGAGUGGUCAGACGUGAUCUAGGUAAUUUUCUACACAUUUUACUAGAAUUAUUUUAUGUUGAAGCAUGACAUGCUAUUCUACCAUUUGCCAUAAGUAUACAUCUCUUGUCACCAGAGAGGAAAAUCCUGCAGACUGGUUGCUGUCUAGCACUGGGCUUCAAGUUCAUAGAAUAUGAAAAUGAGUGCAUGACCUGGGUCCUGAGCUCGAAAUCCAGUGCUGAAAGGCAGCUAGUUUGCAGGAGCUCAAGAAGGCUAUAUCUGAUCCC
ensembl:lncRNA